AUUGAACGUUGGCGGCAUGCCUAACACAUGCAAGUCGAACGGUAACGACGGGAGCUUGCUCCCGGGCGACGAGUGGCGGACGGGUGAGUAAUACUUAGGAAUCUGCCCAGUAGUGGGGGACAACAUUCGGAAACGGAUGCUAAUACCGCAUACGCACUACGGUGGAAAGUGGGGGAUCUUCGGACCUCACGCUAUUGGAUGAGCCCAAGUCGGAUUAGCUUGUAGGUAGGGUAAUGGCCUACCUAGGCGACGAUCCGUAGCUGGUCUGAGAGGACGAUCAGCCACACUGGGACUGAGACACGGCCCAGACUCCUACGGGAGGCAGCAGUGGGGAAUAUUGGACAAUGGGCGCAAGCCUGAUCCAGCAAUGCCGCGUGUGUGAAGAAGGCCUGCGGGUUGUAAAGCACUUUCAGUAGAGAAGAAAAGCCUAGGGUUAAUACCCCUGAGUCUUGACGUAACCUACAGAAGAAGCACCGGCUAACUCCGUG
rnacentral:rRNA from 1 species